rnacentral:rRNA from 1 species
UUCUGAAAUAAGAGCUUUUAAAGUAGUAAUCCUAACAAGAUUAAAUAUAAUUUAUGUGGCAGUUAGAAGUUCGGAUUGGAGGAACGUGCCUGAUAAUUGAUGAUACACAAGGAAUCCUACUUAGGUUUGCUUUCACUCUGCCCACCGCCGUCCAUGAUAGCUCCAUAGAGUGCUCAUACUAAAAUUUUUAAUUUAUAAAGUCAGGUAAUAGUGCAGGUAAUACCUAAGUUAAGGUGCGUUACAUUUCAUCUAGAAUUGGAUUCUCUUUUGAAAGAAAUUGAGGAAACAGAAUUCUAAAGUAAUGUUGAUUUAUAAAAUCGUCGUGAAGUUGAACUUUCUUUUGUA